AUUGAACGCUGGCGGCAGGCCUAACACAUGCAAGCCGAGCGGGGUUUUCGGACCUAGCGGCGGACGGGUGAGUAAUGCGUAGGAAGCUGCCCGAUAGAGGGGGAUACCAGUUGGAAACGACUGUUAAUACCGCAUAAUGUCUACGGACCAAAGUGUGGGACCUUCGGGCCACAUGCUAUCGGAUGCGCCUACGUGGGAUUAGCUAGUUGGUGAGGUAAUGGCUCACCAAGGCGACGAUCUCUAGCUGGUUUGAGAGGAUGAUCAGCCACACUGGAACUGAGACACGGUCCAGACUCCUACGGGAGGCAGCAGUGGGGAAUAUUGGACAAUGGGCGCAAGCCUGAUCCAGCCAUGCCGCGUGUGUGAAGAAGGCCUUCGGGUUGUAAAGCACUUUCAGCGAGGAGGAAGGGUGGUGUUUUAAUAGAGCAUCAUUUUGACGUUACUCGCAGAAGAAGCACCGGCUAACUCUGUGCCAGCAGCCGCGGUAACAC
rnacentral:rRNA from 1 species